CAAGGAAUUUUCCGCAAUGGGCGAAAGCCUGACGGAGCAACGCCGCGUGGGGGAGGAAGCUUUUCGGAGUGUAAACCUCUUUUCUUGGGGACGACGAACGACGGUACCCGAGGAAUAAGGACCGGCUAACUACGUG
rnacentral:rRNA from 1 species